CGGAAGAGGAUUAAAGUAAACUCAUAAACCAAAGAACAAUAAAACAAGAACUUACUAGAAUUAGAAGUCGAAUUACUGAAGAAUCUUAGAAGCAAGCCUCGGGUUAGAAGACUUGAUCCCGUAGGUACAACUCGGAGUAGACACCGACAGGCCGGCCUUCCUCCGAUCUACGCCUCCACUCUAUCUCUCUCAAUCUAGUAGAAACUAGAAGAUCUAUUUCUACUUUACAUUGGUUGCUAAGCCUAAAAAGAAAUAUUAUUUAGAGAAGAGGUUUUCCUUCGAGGGCACCCCUCAAUCUCUAUGAUAAUUUCUUGUCUUCUCCAGGGGCCAGAGGGGGUCUCCUUAUAUAGUCCUCCCCUUCUAUGCGUUUUUGGGUCGAUAGGCGAGGUGGUACUAUGUUAUUCUGGAUCCAAUAGGUCGGUGGAACGUCGUGUGCGAAGAGAGUCCGGAACGGAGUCCAGAGGGGGGCGGGCGCCCAGGUCCUCAGGGCGGGCGCCCUGGGCCUGGCCCCUUUCGGGCUCCGCUUCCUUCCCGUGGCUUCUGGAGUCUUCUAGAUGGUAGAAAAUUGCGCGGUGGGUUGAUAUCUCUAUGUAAUCCCGACAUGUGGGCCUUUCUUCCUUAUUUCCUGAUAACCCCCUGCAGAAAUAGACAAACACCAAAACUCGUGGAAUUCUGUCAGAUAAAACCCUAAGUCUAGAUGUUGAUUUCAUUUGGAUCCUUUUCUUUGUUUAUUUGAUAAUUAAAUUUGAUACUUAAGGACCGUCAACAAACUCCCCCAAGCUUACCUCUUGCUCGUCCCUGAGCAAGGAUAGACUCAGCUAUGGAUCAUAAGUAGUUGCAAUAUCUUUAAAAAUUUGACGGUACACAUGCUUUUAAAUAAGAUCUCAUCUCUGGGUUAGAGUAAACUGUUAAGACUUGAAACUUACUUACUUUACCUACACCAUAGGACUUGUAACCGUCACUUCUGUCUUGAGUGGUUAAGAGAUAGAACAGUCUAGCCAAGUGCCAUGUCUCUUAUUCUUGAUCAGCUAUAGCUCUGGGGUUUUUGCAGAUUUUCAAAUAAAACUCAGAAAUUCCUUGUUUGAUUCUCUCAGGUCUCUCUUUUGUGGUAUUUUUGGAUCCUUACCAAGGCAGUGAUGGUAUAUGCCUUCUCUCAAGAUAUGUAGUAUUUGUGGUAUGAAGCAUAGUGACAUUGUCUUCUCUCUCACCCUACUCUAAUAAGGCUUUAAUAUCUGGAGCUCAUAGGUGGGAGAUAAAGUAUACAUACUUACAAGACAUUUAUUGCAUAGUCAAACCAUGGAUCCAAAGAAACAAAUCAAUAAGCCAAAUCAAGAUGUGCAUGUGUGGCGAAUGAAUGGUGUAUGGUGAUGAUGGUGAUAACAAUGGUGGUGGAAGUCUAAUUCUACUUUGCUCUUUGAGGGGAUACAUACCUUCCUUGCUUUUGAAACUUUAUGAGGAGAAUGAGAUGCUCUUCUUUUUUUUCUCUCAGGUGGGUAUCUUGCACCCCUAAUUCUACUGUCGGACACUUGUCCAUUUUUACCUCUCGUCUCACUUUUUCUUUUCUUUCGAGGUUCCGAGCACUUGCUCCUUUUUAUUUCCUCGUAUCUCUUUUUUCUUUUUUUCAGAGCAUUCAUCUCUUGAGAUAAUAUAGCAAGUGGUAGUAACAAGAUAACUUGAGCAUUUAUUUCACAAGGGGAAACAGAAAUAUUUUUGGUUAUUCUCUCCCGGAUUAGGAGUAGAAUACUUUUGGGUGGUUUUGGAGAUGGAAAUGAGUGGAUAUAUGUGGAUGGUACUUCCGGAGUAGAAGUAGCAUAUAUGAGUGAACGUGCAAGUGAAUCUUGAUUUAACCAUAUGACAAGCUCCUAAGGGUCUACACAGCUUGACCACACUCAAUGCUCAUAAGCAGUAAAUAGUAAAUGUGUGGCUCAAGGUCUAGCAAGCAUGUAUAUAUGGCUGUGGUAGGAAUUUAAACUCUCAUCAUACAGGAACUCAUCAUGCAUCAUUUUAAAGAUUUUCACAGAUAAAAUUCUCCAGAAUUCUAGCAUCUCUAGGAACAGAUAAACAGCAGCUCAACCUUCCCAUAUCGUAUCCGUUAACAACUUAAGUUUUCAUCCCACAAGUUUAGGUCUAGAGCAAGCCUUAAAUUAUAACAGUUAUGUCUAAACUUGAGAGAGAACUUUAAAUUUGCAAAUUAGGCAGAGCAACUAUUCAUCAUAUCCAUGCUUAAGUUUUAUUAUUAAGAUUCAGAUUAGCAUAGCCACUUUAUUUAUUUAUUAAACACACUAAGCAAAAUAUAUAUAAGCAUAAAAUCUUUAUUUGGUUUUUCAUAGUUAUGUGUAUUUAUAUUCUAAAAUAAUAUAAGUAUGAAGAUAGAUAGAAAUACUUAUCGAGGUAAAUGGGGGUGCUCUCCCCCAAGCUGAAUUUUGACGUAAUUUCUCUUGAUGUAGCUAGCAGGUGGCAGAGGUGUAUUUGAAAGCCAGCAGCAUUCUGACAGCAAUUAGAAUGUCCUCCGUCUGCUAGUCUUCUUGAUUCUUAAAUUCUGUGGAGCUCAAAUAGACAACAAAGCUUGUGGAACUGAUUAAGUGUUAGCAUAAAUAUCUAGCCUUUAUUAUCUUGAGACUCCUUAAUAAUUAUUACUCCCUGUUUUUAUAUUUUUGUUUUUAUAAAGUAGAAAAAUAUUUAUUUUAUUUUUAUGCCACCACAGUGAAUGUACUUAUGGGUUUUAUGCCACUCGUCUACUCACAUGGGGCUUACUGUUUUUCACAUUUUUAUUUUCUUUUUAAGAUAGCAUGAACCUGAUUAACUAAGCAAACUAUAAUUGAAUAAUUGAAAGGAAAAGGAUAACUACCAAGUUUACCUCUUGGCAAGGCGUUCGGUGUUUUUAAGUCCUCCGAAUGGGACUCCUUGUGUUUUUAGUCGUCCUGGGAUUCGCUAGGUGGCGUAGUCGGUGAUUCCGGUGGCGCCUCCUCUUUGUGUAUAACUAUGUUCUCUUUCCAUACCUGACUCGGUGCUACAGUCUCCUCAGGACAGUUCUGUUCGUUGUAUGUCUUCAGUCCUUAUCACUUCUCCUUCGUAGUCUACCCAUCCGUCCUUGAUGAUUUGCCUCCUCUGGUUGCGGUGGCGUUGUCUUCUUCUUGUCCUGACCUGCUUAGAAUCUUCAACUAUAUAGUUAGAAUCAUUAAAGUAGUGGCGUACCUUCUCAGAGGGGAAGUGCAUGUGGACUUCUCCGGUUCCAAUAUAGAUAAUGGCUUUGAUAGUGCUGAGGAACGGUCUUCCAAGGAUGGUGGAUGGAUCAUACUCGUCUUCUCCCAUGUCAAUGACCUGAAAAUUGUCUGAAGCUGAAUGUAUCUUGGUUGUAGGAGCAUGGUUCCAUGUAGGAGCUGAUAAGUGACUGCGGCCAUUAUGUUGUCGUUAGAUCCGGUGUCGUAGAGUGUCUUCUGAAAAGAGUAUCCGUUGAUUGUGCACUCGAUGCUUGGAACACCAGGGUUGUCCUUCUUGAUCAGGAAUGGCGACUUGAGUCGACGAUCUUGACCUCUUUGAACUGCAGUGACCAUCUUAGCUGACUCAGUCCACAUUUGCUUGUUCCUGUUCCUCCUAUUGGUCCUCUUCCUUGGUUCAUGUCGGGUUUGCUCUGAAGCUUGUGUAGUCUUGUUCUUGAAGGAAACUCUCCUUCUUCCCCUUGAUGUAGAGACUGAUCUUGGCAGCAUUAGCGUAGAUGACUGCUCUGGUGUUUAGGAAUGGCCUCCCUAAGAUGAUGGGUGCUCUCUCCUCACUACCAGUCUCUAUCACCACGAAGUUUGCUGGAGUGUACAAGGUACCAACUCGGACACAGAGGUUCUUCAAUAUUCCUUUGGGAAACUAAGUGUCUGAUCUCCAUUGUGUUUGUGCUCGUAGAUCUCGGUUCUUCACUUGAUGGAAUCUGAGAGUUGUAAAACGCCUUCACGUUUCUCAAAAUGUGUCCUGCUCAUAGAGACAAGGCAGAGAUCAAGUGCAUGGGCCCUGUUGGUGGAAAACACCAACAGAACCAAAAGUGUAUUUGUUCUUCUCUAACCUUAAGCAUAUUGAGCAAGACAAAGUUGAUGGAUCAUGAGUGUAGCAUUUAAAACAUUUGUUAGAUCAGAUGGCUCAACCUAAUGGAAAGAUAAUCUAUCUAUAUUUAUGUUUUGUUUAUAUCUUCCAAAGAUUGAAUGUGCAACAUAUUAGCUUAUAUGAUUAGGAGUGUGAGAUCACGAAGGUAGUACUAAGAACAAAGAUUAAAGGACUAAACAUGCUGAAUCAGUUAGGUUAAUUUAGAGUUAUAAAUCAUACAUGUUUGUCUCUUUAUUUAUGUGAAUGCCAGAACCAAGACGAAGCUUAUAAAAGCGAUAGUCAAGUACCUUAAGAUGUUACCUUACUUGAAGAGUGAUGGUAUAGUAUCACCUUGUGGAAGCUUUCCUUUUUUAGCGGUUGUGCAUUGUGUUUGUGGCACCCUCCAUGGAUCAUCUCUUUAUGAUGAAUGAGCUAUGUCCUUCUUGUGCAAAAUGUUAAAUUUCAUGUGUCUCCUUUAUCUCCAAUGAGUUUGUAUCUCAGGACUUCCCAGGUUGAUAUUGAAAGUUUUCCUGCAGGGGUUAGUCCCACAAAAUAUACCAAUAUCUACUCAAGCAGUUUUUAGUUCAGUAACCAAACUAGACUCCAUGUCUAAUCAGAUUAAGGAAGGUUGUUUAACCUAAGCACCAUGCUCAAUUUAAAAGCCAAUGGAAGUAUGUCGAGUACUUCCAAACCAACACUUACUAGGAUAAACAAAGGUAGCAUGAUGGCAUUUAUAGAGAUCUACUCAAGUGGAGAUGAAGUAGUGUGAUUAGUACUUAACAAAUUGAGCAUCUCUCAAAGGUAGGGACAACCAACGUAGCAACAUGGCAAAGGAUAUUUUUAUGUAAAGUACUCCCCCAAGCUUGAAUUUUGCAAAAUUCAAGUUUGGAUGAAUUUAAUUCAAUGUUGUGUGAUGGUUGGUUGGACAUACCUUGUGCUUGUCAUUCAUCCGAUCUUCUUGCUCCAAUCCUAGAAAGGUUAGUGACAAGAAUACCCGAAGGAAUAUUUCUACAAUUAUCUUUAUAUGCUCAAUACAUAAGGCAAUGUUGCAAAUAAUUAGAAGUUCAUGUUACGAUCUGAUCAGUGCGAAUUAAGCAAUGGUUUAGGACACUAAGCAAAUAAUUAAGCAAAUAAUUAGAAGUGCUAUUUUUAGGACACUAAGCUUGUCCUUGGAAAACCAUCAAUCAACUCAACGAGAUCUGCAAUAUUUAUUAUAGACAUAUGCAUCGACAACCGCUCUUUUAAAGUUUUUAUAAAUAGAAAAGAAGAGAGGGUUGGAGAUCUCAAAUGUGGUAAGGAUGGAGAGACCAAUUGAUUGGGGAGAUGUAUUAUAUGAGCAAGGACUUGGUGAGGUAUUUAUGAAAUAACUUCCAUGCUCACUGUUGUUUCUCUCAUUCUCAAACUCCAAGGAUGAUUCUUCAUGAAUGCUUAAAAUUCCUCUAGGAUUGUCUCUCAAGUUUGUUUUAUCUAUCCAUUCAAUGGUGAUAGCACAUGGAUUUUUAAUGCCCUCUAGCCAUUGAUGUUGCUCCUCUCGAUCCUCCUUCUUAUGCAUGGAAUGUCUAGAGAGAUUCAUAGGAUUAUCGAGAGGUUCAAGAGAAAGAGCAUAGUAGAAACUAUUAAGCUCAAGGAUGGGAUGGAUACCCGAAUUAUGGGAUUGAAAUGUUUGGAAAUCGGCUAUUGAAACUUCCUUUCCUCGUCUGGGAGAUGAUUCCUUCUCUAUCUCUAGGAUUUUUCUAUGAAGACUAGUACAAGAAGGAUGUCCACGAAUGAAGACAUACCUUCCUUUACUAAUAGAUAAAGAAAGAAGGACUCUACCAAAGGUUAUAUGAUUAAGACCAAUGUGAAAAUAUUUAGGAAAAACAUGGUCUUGUAGGGCUAGGUCUAAACCAGAAUUUAUAGAAAGAUUAACAGAUUCCCUAGGUGUAGCUAAAAGUGCAUUAUCUUCUUGAUUAAAAGAUAGGACCUCGGCUAUAGAAAAGGGUUGGUUUUGACCUAUUGCAAUCAACUCCGGACACAGAUCAUAAUUAGGGGCAGGACGUGUUGACUCCCAUGGUCUAUGGCUGGUCUCCGAAGGUGCAAAGAAUUCAAUAAUAGGUAUGGAAUUUGAGUUAUCCAUAAAGAUAAAAAUAAAUAGAUAAAAGAAUAAAAGUAUAAAAGUAUAAUACAAGAUAAUAGCAAGAUUCAAAGUUAUCUCAGCAAACCGUCUUUCUCCCCGGCAACGGCGCCAGAAAUGCUUGUUGAUAUUUGGUAACGCAAUUAGAAAAUGAUCCGCAAGCGCACGGAUAUCGGUGAGCAUUUCACCCGGGAGGUUAUCGAGAGUUAUCGUAUUUAUAUUUUUACCACUGGGAGAAAGGGUGCAUCUGACUAACCAAAUCUAUUGCUACUACCCCUUUAGGCUAAAAAGAAUGUCUCUCGAUGUGAGUGAUGUAUAGAGAAGAUUGCAACCGUAGUCUCGUUCUAACCUUGGUAAGGAUGAUCUAUUGUUCUAUUGGGGAGGCUCACGGAAUCUAGACAACACAAAGGAUGUUCGACCCGCACCUAUAAACCUACCCGUCCUGCUAACGAGAUGUGAUCUACAAAGGUAACUCGGAAAUGUCACGUUCCUCGCUACUACCACGGUCCAGCUAGUCAGGGGAUAUCUAUGAGUACCCUAGCCUAAACACCACGUUUACGCUAGCAAGUGAUUACUCUAAUACUCAACCAGAAGAGGAUUAAAGUAAACUCAUAAACCAAAGAACAAUAAAACAAGAACUUACUAGAAUUAGAAGUCGAAUUACUGAAGAAUCUUAGAAGCAAGCCUCGGGUUAGAAGACUUGAUCCCGUAGGUACAACUCGGAGUAGACACCGACAGGCCGGCCUUCCUCCGAUCUACACCUCCACUCUAUCUCUCUCAAUCUAGUAGAAACUAGAAGAUCUAUUUCUACUUUACAUUGGUUGCUAAGCCUAAAAAGAAAUAUUAUUUAGAGAAGAGGUUUUCCUUCGAGGGCACCCCUCAAUCUCUAUGAUAAUUUCUUGUCUUCUCCAGAGGCCAGAGGGGGUCUCCUUAUAUAGUCCUCCCCUUCUAUGCGUUUUUGGGUCGAUAGGCGAGGUGGUACUAUGUUAUUCUGGAUCCAAU
rnacentral:lncRNA from 1 species